rnacentral:rRNA from 1 species
UACGGAGGGUGCAAGCGUUAUCCGGAUUUACUGGGUUUAAAGGGUGCGUAGGUGGAUUUGUAAGUCAGUGGUGAAAUCUCCGAGCUUAACUCGGAAACUGCCAUUGAUACUAUAAGUCUUGAAUUAUCUGGAGGUGAGCGGAAUAUGUCAUGUAGCGGUGAAAUGCUUAGAUAUGACAUAGAACACCAAUUGCGAAGGCAGCUUACUUCACGAUCAUUGACACUGAGGCACGAAAGCGUGGGGAGCAAACAGG